rnacentral:rRNA from 1 species
UACGUAGGGUGCAAGCGUUGUCCGGAAUUACUGGGCGUAAAGAGCUCGUAGGUGGUUUGUCGCGUUGUUCGUGAAAACUCACAGCUCAACUGUGGGCGUGCGGUCGAUACGGGCAUCACUGGAGUUCGGCAGGGGAGACUGGAAUUCCUGGUGUAGCGGUGAAAUGCGCAGAUAUCAGGAGGAACACCGGUGGCGAAGGCGGGUCUCUGGGCCGAUACUGACGCUGAGGAGCGAAAGCGUGGGGAGCGAACAGG